CGGGUCGACACGGGGUGUCCUGCGUACAGGGCUGAGAUCACACCCGUUGAACCUGAUCCAGUUCACACUGGCGAAGGGAUGUCAGUCGCAGCCUGA
rnacentral:ncRNA from 2 species